rnacentral:lncRNA from 1 species
AUUUUAACAUUAUUUCUUAAAUAUUUGACCUUUGUCUAAAAACAUUUGAAGAAUCAUUAAGAGUUUUAUUGUGUUGGAUUAUAGGUCUCAUUUUGUUCCUCUUAUAUGCAUAUAGAAUCUUAACUGCAAUAGAAGGUUAUAUAGGUUGUAUAAUAAUUUAAGAAGUCUGUCAGAACACAGACAAGAAAAUUGACCUUCAGACCUUCCUGUCAAUAUCAACCUCCUCCAUACACC